UUAAGCAAAGAAGAGCGCAGGGUGGAUGCCUUGGCACUAAGAGCCGAAGAAAGACGUGAUAAGCUGCGAAAAGCUGCGGGGAGAUGCAAAUAAUCCUUGAUCCGCAGAUGUCUGAAUGGGGAAACCCGGUACGAAGAACUCGUAUCAUCCAUACGCCAAUCCAUAACGUAUGGAGGGGAACCCGGUGAACUGAAACAUCUAAGUAGCCGGAGGAAGAGAAAGAAACAUCGAUUUUGUUAGUAGCGGCGAGCGAAAGCGAAAGAGGCCAAACCGGAGUGCGUGCACUCCGGGGUUCGGACCGCAUUUAAGAUUCAGUGAUUCUAGCAGAAAGGUUUGGGAAAGCCUGCCGGAGAGGGUGAAAGCCCCGUAAGCGAAAGGAGAGCUGACUGAGCGGGAUCCAGAGUACAUCGAGACACGAGAAACCUUGAUGGAAUGAGCGGGGACCACCCCGUAAGCCUAAAUACUACUUAGUGACCGAUAGCGCAUAGUACUGUGAAGGAAAGGUGAAAAGGACCCCGGGAGGGGAGUGAAAGAGAACCUGAAACCCUGUGUUUACAAGCUGUGGAAGUUCUUUAAAUGAACAACCGCGUACUUUUUGUAGAACGGUCCGGCGAGUUGCGGAUACUGGCAAGGUUAAGCACUUAAGGUGCGGAGCCGAAGGGAUACCAAGUCUUAACAGGGCGUUAAGUCAGUGUACGCAGACCCGAAACCGGGUGAUCUAUCCAUGUCCAGGUUGAAGUUGUCGUAAAAGACAAUGGAGGACCGAAGCCACAUCCGUUGAAAAGGGUGGGCAUGAGGUGUGGAUAGGGGAGAAAUUCCAAUCGAACCCGGAGAUAGCUGGUUCUCCUCGAAAUAGCUUUAGGGCUAGCCUCGAUUUAGUCUUAUGGAGGUAGAGCACUGAAUUUCCGCGGGGGCGUCAAAGCUUACCAAAGAAUAUCAAACUCCGAAUGCCAUGUAGAUGAUGAUCGGGAGUCAGACUGCACGAGAUAAGUUGGGCAGUCAAAAGGGAAAGAGCCCAGACCACCGGCUAAGGUCCCAAAGUGCGUGUUAAGUGGAAAAGGAUGUGGGAAUUCGAAGACAACUAGGAUGUUGGCUCAGAAGCAGCCAUACAUUCAAAGAGUGCGUAAUAGCUCACUAGUCGAGAGGUCCUGCGCCGAAAAUGUCCGGGGCUGAAACACGACACCGAAGCCGUGGACUCGCAAUGCGAGUGGUAGAGGAGCAUUCUUAAAACCGACGAAGCUGUACCGGAAGGAGCAGUGGAGGGAUAAGAAGAGAGAAUGCCGGAAUGAGUAGCGAGAGAAAGGUGGGAAUCCUUUCGGCCGAAUAUCUAAGGUUUCCAGAGUAAAGCUGAUCUGCUCUGGGUAAGUCGGGGCCUAAGCACAGGUCGCAAGACGUAAGCGAUGGAUAACAGGUUUAGAUUCCUGUACCACGCAUUAUCAGAACUGUAGGGACGCAUGUGGAAAGCACGGGCCGGGAAUGGAAAAACCGGUACAAGCGGGGUAGGUGUACAAUAGGCAAAUCCGUUGUAUAAUCCGAAGACGUGAUGUGGAGCGAAAUAAAGUAGCAAAGCGUGUGAGCCAUGUGCCGAGAAAAGCUGCUAUUGUGUAAUGCGUGCCCGUACCGUAAACCGACACAGGUGGAUGAGGAGAGAAUCCUAAGGCCGACGGGAGAAGCAUUGUUAAGGAACUCGGCAAAAUGACCCCGUAACUUCGGGAGAAGGGGUGCCUGCGAGAGCAGGCCGCAGAGAAUAGGCUCAAGCAACUGUUUAGCAAAAACACAGGUCUAUGCGAAACCGAAAGGUGAAGUAUAUGGGCUGACGCCUGCCCGGUGCUGGAAGGUUAAGAGGAGAGGUUAGCGUAAGCGAAGCUUUGAAUUUAAGCCCCAGUAAACGGCGGCCGUAACUAUAACGGUCCUAAGGUAGCGAAAUUCCUUGUCGGGU
rnacentral:rRNA from 1 species